rnacentral:rRNA from 1 species
UACGUAGGGUGCAAGCGUUGUCCGGAAUUAUUGGGCGUAAAGAGCUUGUAGGCGGUUUGUCGCGUCUGCCGUGAAAUUUCGGGGCUCAACCCCGAACCUGCAGUGGGUACGGGCAGGCUAGAGUGUGGUAGGGGAGACUGGAAUUCCUGGUGUAGCGGUGAAAUGCGCAGAUAUCAGGAGGAACACCGGUGGCGAAGGCGGGUCUCUGGGCCGAUACUGACGCUGAGGAGCGAAAGCGUGGGGAGCGAACAGG